UCCAACCUGAGAGUUUGAUCCUGGCUCAGAGCGAACGCUGGCGGCAGGCCUAACACAUGCAAGUCGAACGCCUGUAGCAAUACAGGAGUGGCAGACGGGUGAGUAACACGUGGGAACGUGCCCUUCGGUUCGGAAUAACUCAGGGAAACUUGGGCUAAUACCGGAUACGUCCGCGAGGAGAAAGAUUCAUCGCCGAAGGAUCGGCCCGCGUCCGAUUAGCUAGUUGGUGGGGUAAUGGCCCACCAAGGCGACGAUCGGUAGCUGGUCUGAGAGGAUGAUCAGCCACACUGGGACUGAGACACGGCCCAGACUCCUACGGGAGGCAGCAGUGGGGAAUAUUGGACAAUGGGCGCAAGCCUGAUCCAGCCAUGCCGCGUGGGUGAUGAAGGCCCUAGGGUUGUAAAGCCCUUU
rnacentral:rRNA from 1 species